AGAUUGAACGCUGGCGGCAUGCCUAACACAUGCAAGUCGAACGGGAGUAGCAAUACUCUAGUGGCGGACGGGUGAGGAAUACGUAGGAAUUUGCCCUUAAGUGGGGGAUAACCCGGGGAAACCCGGAUUAAUACCGCAUGACCUCGAAAGAGCAAAGUGGGGGAUCGCAAGACCUCACGCUUUUGGAGAAGCCUACGUCGGAUUAGCUAGUUGGUGAGGUAAUGGCUCACCAAGGCGACGAUCCGUAAACUGGUCUGAGAGGAUGAUCAGUCACACCGGAACUGAGACACGGUCCGGACUCCUACGGGAGGCAGCAGUGGGGAAUAUGGACAAUGGGCGCAAGCCUGAUCCAGCAAUGCCGCGUGUGUGAAGAGCGUUCGGUUGUAAGCACGUUUAAGUAGGGAAGAAAAAACUCGACUACUAACACAGUAGAGUCUUGACGGUACCGACUAGAAUAAG
rnacentral:rRNA from 1 species